UACGUAGGGUGCGAGCGUUGUCCGGAAUUAUUGGGCGUAAAGAGCUUGUAGGCGGUCUGUCGCGUCUGCUGUGAAAAUCCGGGGCUCAACCCCGGACUUGCAGUGGGUACGGGCAGACUAGAGUGUGGUAGGGGAGACUGGAAUUCCUGGUGUAGCGGUGAAAUGCGCAGAUAUCAGGAGGAACACCGAUGGCGAAGGCAG
rnacentral:rRNA from 1 species